rnacentral:misc_RNA from 1 species
UUCUCAAAACCGCAUAGCUCCAGAAACUCGACGCCCCCUUUCAAUGAACCAACUCUAUCCUGAAAGGUUUGGUUGUUGACCCUAAUUUUUCGGUACUUCUCCUCACUAGGAUUUUUGGCAACAUUCCCUAUGUAAGUGAGGAGAGUCUGGAAUGCUCUCUUCACUUUAGCAUCAUCAUCCUUGUGAGUCUGCUUAAGAGUUCUCAAACACUCUCUCAUUUGCUCAACUUUUGUGGCAGGCCUAACAGGC